CGUAACCGGUCACGUUAUCUCUCAGCUGCUCACAGCAUCCCGUGAAAGAGAAGAUUAUGCAAAAUAAAAUACAAAUAAAAUCUACGGUCAGAAUUUUUGGGAUAUGAGGACAGACGUUCACUAAACGGUGUGUGGGUUGGUGGAGCUGUCAACUGUUUGAAGUGGACACUGGAGCAGUGAGCAGUCAUGAGGCCACUGAGAGACGCCCAGCUAGGGGCCUUCACCUUCUUUGCCUCGGCUCUCCCCCACGAUGUGUGCGGGAGCAACGGCCUCCCCCUCACCCCCAACUCCAUCAAGAUCCUAGGCCGCUUCCAGCUGCUCAAGACCAUUUCCCACCCCAGGCUCUGCCAGUACGUAGACAUCUCCAGAGGGAAGCAUGAACGACUUGUUGUUGUAACGGAACACUACGAAAGCAGUCUAAAUGAUUUCCAGAAACAGGUUCAAACUGUCAGCCCAGAGAGGGUUCUCCAGAUAGCCUAUGAGGCCUUGGAGGGACUAGAGUUUAUGAACAAACAUGGGAUGGUUCACAGAGCCCUCAAUGCACAGAAUGUCCUCAUGGACGGCAAGGGCAAGGUGAAGCUGGCUAAGUUUGGGCUCUAUUACAUGACAGACCACGGGGCGGAUGUGGACUUUCCUAUUGGGUACCCAUCCUAUCUGGCUCCUGAGGUCAUCGCCCAGGGCUCAGUCCACCCUAGUGACCCCUCCCAGGGGGAGAACCCUCUUCCCUCGGGGCCCAAGACAGACGUGUGGUCCCUGGGAGUCCUGCUCUUUGAGCUGUGUGCAGGUAGAAGACUACUGCAGAACAUUGAAAUAAGCGAGAGAUUGAAGUUCAUCAUCACCUUGGGUUGCAUUGACGACAUAGUCACAGUCCUUGCAGAGGAGCACGGAUGCCUGGAUGCGAUUAGGGAGCUGCCUGAGAACGUCCUGACAUUAUUAAGGAAAUGCCUGACCUUCUUGCCCUCCAGAAGGCCCACCCCUGCAGAGCUGCUGGUUGACCCAGUGUUUGAGGGCGUGUCCUGUCUCUACGCCCCUUUCCAGCAGCCCGUCGGGCUGUUCUCCUCCUCCCUGCGCUGUGCCCACCUGGAGCUACCAGAGGACAUCAGCCAGCUCUGCAAAGAUGAUGAUGAGGAGUACCUGGGGGAGAGGGCCAUAGAUGAGGUGUACCACCUGUGGUGUUUGGCGGGAGGAGACCUGGAGAAGGAACUGACCAACAAGGAGAUCAUCCAGUCCAAGCCUCCCGUCUGCACCCUGCCCAAUUUCCUGCUGGAGGAUGGCGAGUCGUUUGGCCAAGGCAGGGACAGGAGUUUCCUCCUGGAUGACACCACCGUCACACUGUCUCUGUGCCAGCUGAAGAACAGACUGAAAGAUGUGGCAGGAGAGGCAUAUUACCCUUUAUUGGAAGAUGAACAGUCUAGUCUGUCCCAGUCCAACAGCAGCAAUGAGCUGUCUUGCACCGUCACGCUGCCACUCAUCAUCAGGGAGAGGGACACAGAGUACCAACUCAUCCGCAUCAUCCUCUUCGACAGGCUCCUCAAGGCAUACCCUUACAAGAAGAACCUGGUGUGGAAGGAGGCGAGGGUGGACAUUCCUCCUCUCAUACGUGGACUGGCCUGGGCUGCUCUCCUGGGAGUCGAGGGGGACAUUCAAGCCAAAUAUGACAGCAUUGAUAAGGAUACUCCUAUACCCACUGACAGACAGAUUGAGGUGGACAUCCCUCGCUGUCACCAGUAUGACGAGCUACUGUCCUCGCCACAGGGCCACAGGAAGUUCAGGCGUGUGCUCAAGGCCUGGGUGGUGUCUCACCCUGACCUGGUCUACUGGCAGGGUUUGGAUUCACUUUGUGCACCAUUUCUCUGGCUGAAUUUCAACAAUGAACCCCUGGCGUACGCCUGCAUGUCGGCCUUCAUCCCCAAAUACCUGUACAACUUCUUCCUGAAGGACAACUCUCACGUUAUCCAAGAAUACCUCACCGUCUUCUCCCAGAUGAUCGCCUUCCACGACCCAGAGCUCAGCAACCACCUCAAUGAGAUCGGAUUCAUACCUGACCUCUAUGCCAUUCCGUGGUUCCUCACCAUGUUCACACACGUCUUCCCCCUUCACAAGAUCUUCCACCUGUGGGACACCCUGCUCCUGGGGAACAGCUCCUUCCCCUUCUGCAUCGGCGUGGCCAUCCUGCAGCAGCUCCGAGACCGCCUGCUGGCCAACGGCUUUAAUGAGUGCAUCCUCCUGUUCUCCGACCUGCCAGAGAUUGACAUUGAGCGCUGUGUCCGGGAAUCCAUCAACCUGUUCUGCUGGACUCCCAAGAGCGCCACUUACCGCCAGCACGCCCAGCCUCCCAAGGCCCAGGGAGACAGCAGCACCAACGGCUUCGGCAAGGCGGCCAACUACUACUCUUCAGACUACCAGGACAUGCCCAAGACGGACCUGUCGCGGGAGCCCUUGGCGCUGAGUGACCUGAAAGCCGAGGUGUCCCCCCGUAUCUCAGCUGAGGACCUCAUUGACCUGUGUGAGCUGUCGGUGGGGGGUCAAACCAAGAGGAGCAAGGCCAGCAAGCCAAAGAUCCUUGCCGUCGACAUCCGCAGCAUCGAGGAGUAUCCUUCUGUGUGUGUGUGUGUGUGUGUGUGUGUGUGUGAGAGGGGAAUUAAUUAAUCAAUCAAUCGAUCGGUUCAAUUAAUGAAGCCUUUUCUACAUCAGCACAUUAAGCAGUUGGCACAAAGUGCUUUUACAAUAAAACUUGACCCCAGAGAGCAAGCACAGCAGAGACGGAGGUCUUCAGGGCAGAUGAUUAAAAAUAUGCCUCUUCUUCUACCCCCGGGCUGUUUUGUGUUAGCACAGCACCACAUAGAGAGACGAGAGCCCAAGUGUUCUGUUUUACUUUGAAGGGGAAUUUAUAGCAUGUUGUCAUGAAAGACGAGUCGUACUGUACCUCUUUUGAAUAAAUGCAUGUGUUAUUGGCCUCCACUAUGUCUCCAGAGAAGGGAUCGCUACUGAAAUAUGCUUUUCACCUUCAGGCUGUAUUGGUGUUGUGCAGUACCACCACCAGUACAAUAGCUGUGUGUGUGUGUGUGUGUGUGUGUGUGUGUGUGUGUGUGUGUGUGUGUGUGUGUGUGUGUGUGUGUGUGUGUGUGUGUGUGUGUUUGGCUUGCAUGUAGCUUUUAGCUCCAAGACUGAUCUACUCCAUUCACACACUGCUAGUACACAGUCUUAGAAAUAUUUUAUGUUGGUUCAGUUCAGCCAUGGCUUUGUGCAGAGUAUACAUUGGCUGUGUAUAUGACUGGUCCUGUGUUCAAGAACUGGCUUGCCUUCUGUGCUCUCCUCUAUCUGGCUGAGGAGAGUAUGGAGGGCUGGAGCGUUAGCUACUGCGUCAAAUCAAACUUUAUUUGCCACAUGCGCUGAAUACAGCAAGUGUAGACUUUACCGUGAAAUGCUUACUUACAAGCCCUUAAUCAACAGAGCAGUUCAAGAAGAAGAAAAUAUUUACUAAGUAGGCUAAAAUUGAAAGUAACACAAUAAGGAUAACAAUAACGAGGCAAUAUACAGGGGCCAACGGUACAGGCUAGUUGAGGUAAUCUGUACAUGUAGGUGGGGGUGAAGUGACUAUGGGGGGGGGGGGGGGGGGGGGGGGGUGUAAUUUAAAUUGUCCAGUGGUGAUUUUUAUGAAUUGUUCAGCAGACUAAUGGCUUGGGGGUAGAAGCUGUUGAGGAGCCUUUUGGUCCUAGACUUGACGCUCCGGUACCGCUUGCCGUGCGGUGGCAGAGAAUUUUUUUUAAUAACUUGGGUGACUGGAGUCUCUGACAAUUUUAUGGGCUUUCCUCUUACACCGCAUAUUAUAUAGGUCCUGGAAGGCAGGAAGCUUGGCCCCAAUGAUGUACUGGGCCGUUCGCACUACCCUCUGUUACGCCUUACGAUCAGAUGCCGAGCAGUUGCCACACCAGGCGGUGAUGCAACCGGUCAGGAUGCUCUCGAUGGUGCAGCUGUAAAACCUUUUGAGACUAUGGGGGCCCAUGCCAAAUCUUUUCAGUCUCGUGAGGGGGAAAAGGUUUUGUUAUGCCCUCUUCACAACUGUCUUGGUAUGUUUGGCCCAUGAUAGCUCGUUGGUGAUGUGGACACCAAGGAACUUGAAACUCUCGACCCACUCCAAUACAGCCCCGUCAAUGUUAAUGGGGGCCUGUUCGGCCCGCCUUUGACUGUAGUCCAAGAUCAGCUCCUUUGUCUUACCCACAUUGAGGGAGAGGUUGUUGUCCUGGCACCACACUGCCAGUUCUCUGACCUCCUCCCUAUAAGCCGUCUCAUCGUUGUUGGUGAUCAGGCCUAUCACUGUCCUGUCAUCAGCAAACUUAAUGAUGGUUUGGCCACACAGUCGUGGGUGAACAGGGAAUACAGAAGGGGAUUAAGUACACACCCCUGUGGGGCCCCACGGUCUGGACCUGAGGAGAAUCCGUUCUGCCUGCUUGUUAGCUACCGCAUAGCCUGUUAGCCACCUGCUAGCCUGUUAGCCACCUGCUAGCCUGUUAGCCACCUGCUAGCCUGUUAGCCACCUACUAGCAAAAACAACUUGUGUGGGCAAAAGUUACAAAACCGCCACUGGAUGGGAGGUUUAUCGGUUAACUGAAAAACAUUUUGACUUUUCUGUUACAGGGUGGAGUAUACCUGUGAAAUUCAUAUAACAGAAGUGUGAGAUGGACUAAUAUGUUCUGCUGAUUGGAGAAGCUGCUUUCGUCUGCAGCUUCGGCCGAGGCCACAUCUCGGGAAGCAUCAGCAUCCCCUACAGCACGGCGUUCUCUCCAGAUGGGGAGCUGGUGCAGUGUCCCGCCACCGGCACCCUCCAGAGCUUCAGGGGACGUGUCAUCGUGGUCAUCAGCCACGCCAUGAAGAGCGCCGCUAUGUUUGCGACCCACCUGGUGAAGGUAAACUACCCUCGGGUGACCACCCUGGACGGAGGCAUCAACAAGAUGAAGCCCACAGGCCUCCUCACUGUCCCCUCCCCCCAGAUCUGAUCAGAGACCAAACCGCCAGCUGCCAAACAAACUCGGUCGCACCCACACAAACAAAAGUGACUCAUUCAUCGUCUACCAACGGGCAUUCUUUUUAUUUUAUUUUAAUAAACUUAUCGUAAGAAAAUGUUGAAAAUAUUUGCUUGUGUUUCUGUAUGUUGUUUUACGUUUAGAUUUCAUAAUUUGAUGUAAGUCCCUCUUUUUUUUUUUUAUUCUUAUGUUGUACUGUAUGUAUGUGCUCAGAUGUCACAGCAUUAAAAUGACUGAGAUCAGCUCCUCACUGUA